CGUCGUCCACCCACGGGGGCGUCAUUGUCAUUUCGUAAGCCCCUUGGUUAAACAACCGACUCCGCUCACCCGUUUUCCACCAAAAUAUCUACAAAUAACGUGCCUGCCUUGUCGUCGAUUACUCGGUGGGCAUACCUCAUUUUUCAUUGGAGGUACCGCCAGCACAGAGAGCGGGACCCGAGUGGAGGUGAGGGUGAUCGACCAGUUGCAACAAUGUGUCGUUCGUGGCGUGCAUGCCGGUUCCACCCACCCGCGAGUCCACCCAUCGUUUGAUGGUCUAUACGAAUCUCUUGUUAGAAGAUCUCCUGGCACACUCUCGCGCUACCACUGUCAGCCGUUAAGUAGACAUUAAGAGGGGAAGAGGUGUUCGUGUCUUCGUGUUCGGAUCUCAACUCGGCGAUCAAAUCAAGGAACCCCGGUGUAGUCCGGCACAGGUUCUGUGGAUUAAAAUCGGCGGGUUGUGGGCGGGCAUUGUUUCCUUCUUCUUCGGUGGCAAAGAUCAAGAAGACGCUACGCCAUCAAAAGGCGACGACGAGGAUCGAAGUUUUGUGAUCAGUGACGGGUGGCAUCGGACUCGAGAUUGUUUGUCGUUGCUGUUCCUGUUCAUGCUAUUGGAAGCCCGGAGCAAUCUUUUCUCGAGUUUCAUGGAUUAUUAAUUUUCUGGGGAUCCUUGUUUGUCGGCAGUAAGGGUUCUGUUUGGUAUCUCCAUAUGGAGUUUGUAGAGUUUACCAGAAAGUGAAAAUUUUGAUAUGCCAGAUGCUCUGGAGAAUUGUUUGUUGUAUUGGUUAUUUAGAUAGGCGUGGAUGACAUACAAGUGAAAGUCCAAUGUCUUGAUUCGUUUUUGGUGUUUAAAUGCAAACGAAAGAUGUUGAAACUAGUAAUUCCAUGGUAUCUUAUUUUGUGAUAAUUCUCUGUUC